CGAGGGAAACAAGGGCAGAUUGGAGGCACGGAACAUCCCCACAAGGAGGAUGGUGCUUGCUGGGAGUGGAUGGGAAAGUGUAGCUCUGACAAAAGUUACAGCAUUUGGGACAUCAACGUGAGCAGAGGACGAAAGCUGGGAAUCAUUACAUGGCACGACAGAAGGCAAAACGCUCACCUGGAGAACACAAUUAGCUCAGCAGGUCUUUUAGUACCAUUAGAGGAUUAUUGUCCUGUUAUUACAUGCCCCAUCAUUAAGCGAUUAUUGUCUCAGUGGUCCCUUGACCUCCUGGGCAUGGCUGGAUGGUGCCACAUCAGACCUCAAAGAAGGUGUUGUUAGAGGGGUGGGGUGGUGAGAGUUGUCCUCUCUUCCAGAGACCACCAGCAGCUCUGGGUGGCAACUUUAGGAGGCAAACCUUCCUGUCCAGCUGGAGAAGUGGAAACCUUUCCUCAUCAUCCUUUCUAAAUGAGGCUUUUUUGGCUGUGCUUUAAUGAAAAGCUGAAACUUCAUGCAGCAAGCAAACGCCUCCUCCUAACUAUCUAUUCUGCUUCUCAUCCGAGUUGUUUCUGCAUAUUUUUCAGCAUACACGAGGUGUUUCUCUGCCCUAUUUCAAAGCAGGGGAAACUGAGGCACACAGCAGCUCUGAGAUACUCCCAUGAGACCUCUCCUGUGCUGAGGUUGCCACAAAGAGAAAUCAAGCUAAAUGAUCAGGGAUGUGACCAGUUGAUUUGGUGUUCAAGGCCAAAGUUGGAUGGGGGGCCCUAGGAAGCCUCGUUUAGUGCUUGAUCUAGCAGUCUGCAACCCUGCCUACAGUGUGGAGGUUGGAAGUGGACAAUCCCUUCCAACACAAGCCAUUCCAUGAUUUCCUGCCCACGUGGUCCUGUGGGCACCCCAGUGACUAUAUAUGGCCAACUCUCUGCUCUCCACCUCCUAUAAAAGAUGCUGGCUGCUGGUUUACUUGCUGCCAGCCCUCCUGGAGCUGUGCGUUCCUCAUUUCCCUUUUAGGAAGCAAGAUUCCUGGACAUAGGGCAGUAAAAAGAAAACAUCUCUCAGCUCUUAUUUAUCACCUCUCUUUGUAACUGACCACUCUCCAAAUAGAGGGACUGCUUGCAGACUGCUUACAGGAGUGCAACACAACGAAGCCAGAGGUGCCUUUGGCCCCUGCUGUCCUGGAUGGAUUUCCAUGCAGAUCUCCCCACCUCACUGCUAUUUAUGGGGUCAGCUCCAGUCAAGCAACCCAGCUGAAGUCCUGGUGCUUACUGCUCACUGGCCAAGCCAAACAACGGAGUGAUGCAAUAUUGCACAAACUUUCCAACCAGGGAAAUUAAUCUUUGCAAUAGAAAAAAAAAAAUAAAACAAAAAAAGACAGCUCAGGGUGUCUGUCUUGGAGGGGAUGUCUGUUAAAUGGGCUCAGCACAUGUUGUUCUGGCUGCUUCCGCUCAACUCUGCUGCUGCUGUGCAAUGAUUCCUCAGUUUAAGCUCAGUGCACGUGAUGAGGAUCCGCUCCCUUUUCAGCCUGGACCUGCCCUACUCUCAUCCCAUUUGGUGGAGCAUUGGGUUCCUAGCUCUGGGUGUCUUGAUGGAUGGAUGGGAUACUGAAGAGACGUCCCUGCAAGUUGGAUGGGACCCUGGACAACCUGAUCCAGUGGCUGACAGCCCUGCUUGCAGCAGGAGGAUGAAUUUUUAUCCCUGGCAGAAGACUGCCCUGCUUUCUGUGUUGAUUCUGGCGUCUGCACUGGAAAGCAAAUAAAGAGCAACACAUCUGGGAUCCAGCAACAGCCAUUGAUUGCUCUAUAGUGAGUGAGGACCAACACAGUUUAUGUCAGCUGAGGUGUUCUUGCAGUGCCCUGCUGCUCCUAAACAUCUUCAACUGAUUGAAGGAGCCAUCCAAAUUUUCUUUGUUUCUCAUUGAUUGGUGGUAAGGAAGGGCUGGUAAGCCUCUGUGCAGCCUCCAGCUGGUUCAGGUUGAUGCCCACACCUGGAAACACCGUGCCACAAGCAACCCAAGUCUUUCCCUAUAUAAUUCAACAAAUCACGAGGUGAAACAAAGGAAGCUUUUUUCCCCAGACCGCUCUCACAGUGGUGGCCCCACGGGCUCAUCUUGGAGGGCAGCUUUCCCCUUUGUGAUGCUAAACAACUAGGAAGGAAUAAUCAAAUUAUAUCCACACAAUUACCUGAAUGAGGGCAUCAAGCAUCCCAUAGAGAGUUGUCCCUUGCUGCUUUGCGAAGGCCAUCGCAUUCAUUCAGGCCGGCAAAACUCCUCUCUGGGUUUCAGACGACGCCAUAUGAGGACUAGUGAUGCUUGUGCACAGGUUGUCCAGAGAAGUGAUCCCUGGGGACAUUCAGGUCAGGCUGGAAGGGGCUCUGAGCAGCUGAUGGAGCUGUGGGUGUCCCUGUUCACUGCAGGGAGUUGGACCAGGUGGCCUUUAAGGGUCCCUUCCAACUGAAUAAUUACAUGAUUCUACAACUUUUGGACAUGGGAUGGGGUGCUCCUUCCCCUCAGUGCUAUCCUGAGGAGCGCAUCUCCCCAGUGCCAUUGGAGCUGAACACAAAUAGAGCAACAAGAAGGAAACAGAUGCUUCCCUGCUGGAUGAAUCAGCAGCGCAUCUGGGCUCUGAUGAGGCUGCACUGUAAGAUUUUCCCCUCUGUCCCAUGCCGGUGGGAAGGCAGUGGGCCAGCCUCUCUGCUUGGCCGGGGAGCAGGAGGGAGAGGAAGCUGGGUUGGCUCUCCUUG